rnacentral:lncRNA from 1 species
GUUCUUCCGCCAGCGCCCAUCGUGAAGACCACAGUUUCCUGUCGCGUGGAUGUGUUUCCUCUCUGGCCAUUGCCAUCCGCCCAAAUCUACAGACAUCCCGCAUGUUCCCGGGCUCGUCUCCCCAAUACAGGGCACCAAGGUGAGUGCAAGGUGCAUGGGCAGCGCCGUUUCCUCCAUCAAGGAAACCGGGCUGCGGGCCGUCGGUGGGCGGCUGGUCUGCUGGGUCUAGAGGAGGGAGGGCCUCAAGCCGCGUGCUUUUCACCGUCUGAGUAUCUGAAGCCUCAAAGCCAUGUCUGUCGCCUACAAAAAGUGGGUCGGUGUUUACGACCUGUGUCCCAUGUUUUUAGCAUCCUACCAAGGCGAAUCCAUUGACCAGGAUUUAAGUUGAGACUCCCCCAGGACCCCGGGUGCAGCAUCUGGGUCCCCCUGCCCCGCCCUGCCUUGCGCCGCAGCCGCUUCCGUUGUCCUGCCAGGCUGUAGACUGCGCAGCCCUCCUGGAGACAGAUGGAAGCUCCUUGGGUCGACAGAUUACAGCUUCUGGAACCCCCUACUCCCUUCAACUCCGAGAUGGACACCCACUGUCCAGGGAGAGGAUGCCUGGAAAUAACAGCUGGGAUCUACAGUGGCCAAAGAGUUGUCUCCGUCUUGCUACAUCGACAAACUGGUGCUCCUGAGUGAGGAUUGUGCCCUGGGAUGGGGGAUUCAGUUUCUUCAUUUAUAGUUGGAAGUGGGUGAAGCCACUUCGGAAGCGUUUUCCUCUCCACUCUGACAACAGGCAAGAGUGAGGGUCCAACAAUACAGAGGAAGUAACGUGUCGCUGCUACUCUUCCAUGCCCAGUGCCAGGAGCGACGGUACACUCCAGAGUGCUGUGCCCUGAUGGGCCUUUGAGUGGCCAGUGCAGUGGAUCAUCAGCCCUGUCUCCCAAGAGCUCCAGUCCCUUCUCCGGAGAGGAAGUGGGUCCACUGGCAGCUCAGGAGGCCAUAGCAGGAUUGUCACGUGUGCUCAACAGUCCUCCUCGGCUUUCCAGAAGAGGCUGGAACAGGGCCCUUGAAGAUGUUUGUGGACAUCAGAGGGCCAAAGACGACACAAAGUGAAACUGGAGACACCGCCCCCCCUUGGCAUCAUGAAACUGCCGAUGUUACUGGCUCAUGCAUGGGAGACACCAGCAUACAAAGUCUUGACACCAACACCUCAGAGGGCUGUGUUCUGUCCCCGUGACCAUCAUCUAGUGCCUGGAAAGACUAGUGACAAGAACUUGUUGCCAACUUCCUAUUACCUCCCUAACAGUUGUGCAAUAAACCCCAUAGGUUAAUUCA